AUCUGCAGAUCCACAAGCCGGGAGAGCUGCGGCCAGUCGCACCAAUCCCACGUUAAACUCCGAUAGACGGCGGCGGCUCCGCAGUCGUCCGCAUGGUCGAUCUGGAUCGGACCUUUCCGUCUCUUAACUUAGCAAGUCUGGUUUCAGUGGGGAAAGGAAAACUAAAAAAAAAAAAAAACACUCGCACCUCCCCCAGGCUCCCUCCCUCUCCUUCCCACCCCCACAGCCAGGACCCGCAGCCGUGGCCUUCGCUUCCAGUGCGCCGCCGCGACCACCCCGGGGCCGGACAGAGGGGUGGAGGCUGGAUGCGGUGAGGCGACAAUAAAUACCCAGAAGGCAGCUGCCUAAGCAGGCGAACCGGCCGUCGAAGCCCAAACCCGACGGGAACAAUGAGUCCGGCCGUUCAGACGAAACUUCAGCGGUCCUCUAGCUUCGCUCUGCUGCCCACUAACCUCCGACCGACGGCCAGUUCAUCCAGUUCUGAACGCGGCGCUGGGUGCCGCCGGCAACGCGGCUUCCGCACACGAGACGGGAGCCGGAUCUUGGUGAAAAGCAAUGUGAAAAACAUGGCCACCAAGUUCUGAGGACACAUUCUGGACAAUGUACGAUGUCUGCGCUUGCUGGUGAUCAAAAGUGCAUCAUUCAAAAGAAGAUGCAGUAGAAACUGGGAAGACUGACAGGCAACAUCAGCCUGAGAAAGCCACCGCAUGCUGGGAUCUUUGCCGAGGAGAGGGGAGCAACCCUAACAUCUUAGCUGCCUCUACAGGGUCUGCAGGAAGACAUGAUGUCACCUGAUGUGAUGCUGAACAGCCAUAUUUACACUGAAGGUGCCAUUCCUCUAUUAAACAUCUUUUAGCAUCUUU